GACAGAGGGUGCAAGCGUUGUUCGGAAUUACUGGGCGUAAAGCGCGUGUAGGCUGCUUUGCAAGUCGGAUGUGAAAGCCCUGGGCUCAACCUAGGAAGUGCAUUCGAAACUUCCAAGCUCGAGUUUGGGAGAGGAAGGCGGAAUUCUCGGUGUAGAGGUGAAAUUCGUAGAUAUCGAGAGGAACAUCGGUGGCGAAGGCGGCCUUCUGGACGAUGACUGACGCUGAGACGCGAAAGCGUGGGGAGCAAGCAGG
rnacentral:rRNA from 1 species